GACAGAGGCCUCAAGCGUUAGGCGGAAUCACUGGGCUUAAAGCGUGUGUAGGCGGGUCGUUAAGUACCUUGUGAAAUCCCCCGGCUCAACCGGGGAACGGCUGGGCAUACUGGCGAUCUUGAGCCACCUAGGGGCAGUCGGAACAAGUGGUGGAGCGGUGAAAUGCGUAGAUAUCACUUGGAACGCCAAUGGUGAAAACAGACUGCUGGGGGUGUGCUGACGCUGAGACACGAAAGCCAGGGGAGCAAACGGG
rnacentral:rRNA from 1 species